rnacentral:rRNA from 1 species
GACGAACGCUGGCGGCGUGCUUAACACAUGCAAGUCGAACGGAAAGGCCCUGCUUUUGUGGGGUGCUCGAGUGGCGAACGGGUGAGUAACACGUGAGUAACCUGCCCUUGACUUUGGGAUAACUUCAGGAAACUGGGGCUAAUACCGGAUAGGAGCUCCUGCUGCAUGGUGGGGGUUGGAAAGUUUCGGCGGGUGGGGAUGGACUCGCGGCUUAUCAGCUUGUUGGUGGGGUAGUGGCUUACCAAGGCUUUGACGGGUAGCCGGCCUGGGAGGGUGACCGGCCACAUUGGGACUGAGAUACGGCCCAGACUCCUACGGGGGGCAGCAGUGGGGAAUAUUGCACAAUGGGCGGAAGCCUGAUGCAGCAACGCCGCGUGCGGGAUGACGGCCUUCGGGUUGUAAACCGCUUUCGCCUGUGACGAAGCGUGAGUGACGGUAAUGGGUAAAGAAGCACCGGCUAACUACGUG